rnacentral:lncRNA from 1 species
CUAGGUCAGUUUUUUUCUAGCUCCUAGUAGUGAACAUAUAUUUGGAGUCAGAUACAUCAAGUGGAUCAAGUCUUGAUGACACCACACUUCUGCUUCCUCCUGCGCAGAGCCAAUAAAACAGAAGCACACCAAGAUCACAUAUGCAGACCUGUAUCAGGUACUACAGUCUACAGCUAUGUCCCCAUGGACUAUUUAUUUACUCAAUUGAUGCAUACCAUGGUUAAUUGAAUUGUGUUUCAUCAACUAGCUCACCGGAGUUGUCGCCGUCGAAGUUACUGGUGGACCAACCAUUGAUUUCGUUCCUGGCAGAAAGGUUAGUUAGUACUGUACAAGUGGCAACCUCAGAUUCUAUCAUUACUGAGUAUAUAUCAUCUUGUCAGAGCUUCUUAUUCUAGCUUUUCAUGUCUGUAAUAACCAGGAUUCGUCGGCUUGUCCAGAAGAAGGACGCUUGCCAGAUGCUAGAAAAGGUUGCUUCGUAACACAUCUUUAGAAGCUUCUUUAUAUAUAUAUAUAUAUAUAUAUAUAUAUAUAUAUAUAUAUAUAUAUAUAUAUAUAUAUAUAUAUAUAUAUAUAUAUAUAUAUAUAUAAGAUACACAGAAUUGGUACACACAAGAGAGUUUUCAGCAUUACAACGUACCUUCGAUGUUUAUGGGACGGAUGUUCCAAAUUCAGCUCUUCUGCAUUACUGAAAAACUUUCAAUUCUUCUUGCUCUUAUCUGUCACAAGGUGCUUCGCAUCUUAGAGAAGUCUUCUACCGGAUGGGUUUAUCUGACAAGGACAUUGUGGCACUCUCCGGCGGUCAUACUCUGGUACACAAGAACAUCUUUUCUUGUUCAUGCAUUAUAGCAAGCAUAUUUUUUUUCUUAGAGAAGGGUUAACAAAUAUGAACAUGGUCUCAAUUAGAUUAACGUGGUUUAGUUCCUUUUUAUCUAAAUUUGUGCCACACAAUGCAAAUUUCAGGGAAGAGCACAUCCAGAGAGGACAGGAUUUGAUGGCCCAUGGACCAAGGAACCUCUGAAAUUUGACAACUCUUAUUUUGUGUAAGCCUUAAGCUGACUAUUUCAAAAACCUAACACACGAUUAUUGCCUUUAUUUUUUCUCAGAUUAUUAUGGUUGGUAAUGUCACACCUGUGUAUAUCACUUCACAUCCAAUGAUGCAGUGAGCUUCUGAAAGGCGAUUCUGAAGGGCUCUUGAAACUCCCUACUGACAAGGUUCUUGUGGAAGAUCCUGAAUUCCGUCAGUACGUCGAACUAUAUGCCAAGGUACACAACUAUUCAGUUACCUUCUUCCAUUCUUGCUCGAACAGUUCCUGAAACCUUAUAAAAAAAAUACCUUAUCAGAAAAAAAUAAUGGUUCUUGAAACAGAAUUCAUUGUUUUCAUUUGAUCUCGAAUUGUCAAUAAAACCUAAAUCAGGUAGGCACUGACAUUUUCUGCAUUUUAUUUUUAUCAUUUCUCCCUUCUGAAUCAUAGAACUAUAAUUACGUGCCAAAAUAAAACUAUAAUAAUCCAACUACAGAGUGAAGCUUCAGUGUUCGAAUCAAGGCCAGCAGAAAUCGAGGGGCUGAUUGGCUCUCUACCCAGCCUUGCCAAUGCUUGCCUUAUAAACUUUAGUUGCAUCAACAAAAUUUUCAAGCAUUUAGUUUGUUAGCAAACUUAGUCAAGAUUCAUUAUGUUCAGUUCAUUUCUGGCUAAUAUCUAGCCAAAUCAUUUGAGAACAAACUGGUGGACAAUAUAUGGUAAUGCCAACCUUUUGUAUGGCUUGGUGAGCUAAAGUUGGUGUCAAACAAACAACUUAGAAAUCAAUAGGCCUAUAGCACAUGUUGUGGUAGGUUUGGCCCUGGACGUGCUGCAUCAGCAACCUAGUCAAUACAGGAUUAGUUGUUCCAUGGUUUGUUCAGGUCUGCAUCCAAGUAACUAUCAAUCUAUCUGCUUAACAAACAUGAAUAAACUAGCAAACUUUGGAAAGCAGUCCAUUGACUAGGCUGCUGACAGCAUAUCCAGGGCCAGAGCCGGGGCACUUGCCAUAACCAUAACACUCCUUUUAUAUAGUAGUUGAAAUUAAUCCUUGUUUGUCCACUAAUCAUUUUGCCUACCUUAUUUGCAGGAUGAAGAAGCUUUCUUUAGGGACUACGCGGAGUCACACAAGAAACUCUCAGAGCUAGGCUUCACACCGCCUCGCUCUUCUUUCACA